rnacentral:rRNA from 1 species
UACGUAGGGUGCAAGCGUUAAUCGGAAUUACUGGGCGUAAGCGUGCGCAGGCGGUUUUGUAAGUUUGUCGUGAAUCCCCGGGCUCAACCUGGGAAUGGCGAUGAAGACUGCAAGGCUAGAAUCUGGCAGAGGGGGGUAGAAUUCCACGUGUAGCAGUGAAAUGCGUAGAUAUGUGGAGGAACACCGAUGGCGAAGGCAGCCCCCUGGGUCAAGAUUG